CCUACGGGUGGCAGCAGUGAGGAAUAUUGGUCAAUGGACGAGAGUCUGAACCAGCCAAGUAGCGUGAAGGAUGACUGCCCUAUGGGUUGUAAACUUCUUUUAUAUGGGAAUAAAACGUUCCACGUGUGGGAUUUUGUACGUACCAUAUGAAUAAGGAUCGGCUAACUCCGUUCCAGCAGCCGCGGUAAUACGGAGGAUCCGAGCGUUAUCCGGAUUUAUUGGGUUUAAAGGGAGCGUAGGUGGAUUGUUAAGUCAGUUGUGAAAGUUUGCGGAUCAACCGUAAAAUUGCAGUUGAAACUGGCAGUCUUGAGUACAGUAGAGGUGGGCGGAAUGCGUGGUGUAGCGGUGAAAUGCUUAGAUAUCACGAAGAACUCCGAUUGCGAAGGCAGUUCACUGGACUGCAACUGACACUGAGGCUCGAAAGUGUGGGUAUCAAACAGGAUUAGAUACCCUGGUAGUC
rnacentral:rRNA from 1 species